ensembl:lncRNA
UUUCAGGGUCUCAGAUGGGCCUUUCCCCUUCGUGGGCUUCAGAGGCCUGCCUAACAGAAUAUUAAAGCUAGGGACCAGCCUUCCAAGGCAGAAGAAAGACAUCGCAUCAGCAUGGAUGACCACCACCUUGCUUCAUAUCUAAAUUCUUGGGGGCUACAUCAGGACCCCACCAAAACUUAGAGCAUAGCCUUAUCCAACCACAGCACUAGAGGCCCCUCAAGCUAUUCCCUCUAGAGAUGGGCCUGACCUCUGUGAGCCUCCAGCGCCCCUUCCUAAACUGGGCCCCACCUUUAAUUUACCCAGAAGCUCCUGGGGCACAGGUGGGGAAAUUCAAAGGAGGUGGUUUGGGCAGGACCAGGAAAGAGGUAGGGGUACAGCCAGGAGAGAGGGCUGCAGCUGUCAAUCAGCUGAAGUUGAAGGUGCCCACGGUCACUCUUGUCUGCAGAGUAAAUUUACCCAACUCUACUUUUUCUUGUUCCCUGGAAUUCUGUGUACUGGAAGGAGGAGAAACUAGCCAUCUUCCCACAGAGGUCUACUCAGAAUACAAUUGAUUCUAUAAACAACGAGGUCUCAGGAGAGGGAGGAGCUGAUGUGAUCCAAGGCCACCUUCCUUCUAGGCCCCUGCUCAUAUCCACUGCUCCCUGACCCCAGCAGUCUUUCCCUAGACCUCAGAAUCCUUUCAGGUGACCCAGCUUCUGUGUGGAAGCCCACUACCUGUCAGCAUUUUGGGGCUGGUGAGAGGGCACAGCAGGACUGGCCUUCCCUAUGCCACGUGGUCACCUGAUUAGUCUCAUCAGUCAAGGAAGGACCAGGAAGGGGCCAGUCUAUCAUAGAGCUGCAGAGCUGGCAGAUUCCACUGGAGCAGCCAGAGGCUGGAUUUCCUUUCACAGAAGGUUUGGUGAAUUCUGAAAUGGAAGAGACUCAGCCUCAGGAAGGCACCCACUCUUCCUUAAAGGAAGGGAGAGGGGUUGGUCCACUCUACCCCCAAAGCCCUUAUUUCCUCUCCAAGAGAUACAAAGAUCAGACCCAAAAGCAGUUCUUGGCCCCAGCCUGGAGCAGGAGACUAAUUUCUCCUCCUUCCAGUACAGCUCAUCUACCUCCCUUGUGGUCCCAUGGCAGACAUCACUAAUCAAUGCCGUAACUUUUCUGAAGGAAUCCUUAUAAUGGCCUCAAAACUGUACCCAUUCUGAGUUCUGGCAGUCAUAGUAAUUACCAACAGAUCAGCGCUGGGAGCUGGAUUUAAGGAUGGAGAUGGACAGGACAUCUUGGUGAAGCAACAUGGCUCAGGGAACCUGGAAAACCCCUCAGGGGGCAUGAUGCCAGGAUCCAUCCAUUUGCUGGUAAAAUAAUAGCAUUUAAAGCACUUAUAGACUAUUUGGACUGAUGACACAGCAGAUAUCUGCCCUAAUGGAGCUCACAUCCUAGUGGAAGAAAAAGGGGAAUUUUUUUAAUAAAACCAACACAGAGACAAAUACUUUGAACCCAUGCUGCAUAGGUGCUAAAGGGAAAGGUUGAGGGAAAGGACUGCUCUUUCAAACAGUGUGAUCAGCCUCCCUGGUGGGAUGGAAUCUGAGCGGGGACCCCAGUGGAAAUCUGGGAGAUGCACAGACCAGGAACUGAAAGGCUGGCUCCUGCUGCACCACAUCAGCUGGCGAGGACAGGGGCUCCUUCGUGCUGUGCCAUCUUGGUAUAGAGGAAAGGCCGGGUGGCUCAGCUAUUCUGACUGGGCCUUGGUACAAGGAAAAGAAUUCAAUCACACCAACACUUGUGAAACAGACAUAUUAUAUGGGAACAAGCUACAUUCCCCAGGAGAGAAGCAGAGUUUGCACAUUCAGGGGUGAGGGCCAAUGUAAUCACCAGGAUGUUGUAGACAUCAUCUUCAGUGUGCAGCUGAGUAAUAGUGUGAUGACAUCUAGGAUUUCCACUUGACCUUGUUUAAUAGCCUGGGGUCUAUGGACCUCUUGCUCUUGGAUCAGAGUGGCUUCUAUCUCUUGGCUUUCUGUGGAUCAUCUGUCAUGCUUUCCCCAGUAAGAGUUCUUUCUUCUUUAGGAAAAAAAAAUAAUUAAGUCUGUGUUAUUUUUCAUUUUAAGCCACCCUUGCCUGUUAUAGAAAAAAAAUUGGAAAAUAGAGAAAAGUAUGAAAAUACUCUCCAAUUUUGCCACCCAAAGACAUCCCCUCCCAUGGUGCAGACCCCCACCCCCAAUUUUUUCUUCUGUGCAGUUUUUGUUCCGCUCGAUUUUUGCCUAGGUAUGAUUAUGCUGAAUAUACAAUUCAGCUGCUUCCUUUCUUCACAUAGCAUUUUAGAAUAAGCGUUUUCCCAUGUUAUUACAAACUCUCAGUAAACAUCAUUUCAAUAGUUGUACAAUAUUCCGCCGAGUGAAUGUAUCACGGUUUAUUUAAACAUUUUCCCCUCUUGUUGGGCCUGUGGAUUUUUUUUUUCCCAGUUGGUUUCUUUUUGUAUCAGAAAUAAAACAUCCUUUGUUUUCUUGUCUCCCUUCUGGGGCUUCUAUCAAUAUUUACAAGAAUCCCAGCCUAGGUCCUGUCUGGAAGAGCAGAGUUGCUGAAACAAACAUAGAUGCCUACAUUUGCCUACAGCUGGGGCUGCAGCUGGAGCUGGAGCUGGGGCUGGGGCUGGGGCUGGGCUGCUCUCUGUCUGCAGAACACAGAGCUGUCUUGGAAACCCCCAGCCAGAAAGCCAAGACCGGCUAAAGGGACAUCCCAGGUGCCUCUCUAAGGAAUCCCUGGCCAGAUAAGACAGGGAGUCACAUUUAGUGAGCACCUGCUCAUUUUAUGCUGGGGACUGGACUACAUGGUUUCAUAGACAUCAUCCCACCAUCCUCACAAUAAUCCCAUUUUGCAGGAGAAAAAUCUGAGGGCCAGAGAGUUUAAGAAAAUUUCCUUAAGAGCAAAAUCCAAAGACCUUCCAUGUCCUUAAAAGUGUGCUUAAACCUGGCCACCUCUAUCUCAAUGAGACCUUUCUCCAUUGUGUCAUCAUAAGGCAAUGUAGCCAAGGACUUGGCCCCAGCCCACAUCCUGGUUACCCAAUCCCAUCUCCACACACACCAAUUAAUAAUGCUCCAUCUCUGAAUCUUGAACUCAAAGGAAAUUUUCUUAAAUUCUUGGAUCUUCGAUGCCUACAUCCAUAACAUGAGUUGCCCCUGCCAGGCUCUGAAGAAGGAUAUUGUGAGAACUAACAAGAAGCACCCAGUCCAGGGACAGCUCCGACGUUUUGAGACUGUCAGGAUUGACUGACGAGCUGAUCUGAGCUUCUCUGGGCUCAAAGCACUAAGCCUCUUCCUGGGAGGAAGACAGUCCAGCUUCAAAAGUGCUCAGAGGUCCUUGGAAGGCCUGAGAAGGUGCCAGGUAGCAGGAGCUCCUUCCCUUACAGAUGGAGUGAGUCCCCUGAAGCUGUAGCUGCCACCAGGAGCAGCUCCCUAGGCAGGUUUGAGGCUGCGAGGCUAGCAGAAGGAGGGAGAUGAAACAGGGUGAAGGAGGUUCCUUCAGGGAGCUAGAAGCAGAAGAAAGAACUGCCUGGAG